rnacentral:rRNA from 1 species
UACGGAGGGUGCGAGCGUUGUUCGGAAUCAUUGGGCGAAAAGCGCGUGUAGGCGGCUUGGCAAGUCGGUUGUGAAAUCCCGGGGCCAAACCCCAGAACUGGAAUCGAUACUGCAUCGCUAGAGUCCCGGAGAGGAAGUCGGAAUUCCCGGUGUAGAGGUGAAAUUAGUAGAAAUCGGGAGGAACACUAGUGGCUAAGGCGGCCGCCUGGACGAUGUAUGACGCUGAGUGGCGAAAAAGUGGGGAGCAAACUGG